ACUGGGCAAAUGAUAUCGAAAAAUCACAAAAUUUAUUUUCUGGGUACUUCAAAUACUCUAGAUCAAGUCUAACGGAUCCGAUCGUCGAUUCGAAAGUCCUAACAUCGAAAAUGACUUGGAAGCACGGAGCGCUCUGUGCUUCCAGAAGCAUACCAGACGCACUAUAUAUAUAUAUAGAGCUAGGCUCCUAUGCUUUCGAAAGUACGCAGGCCUCCAUGCUUGUAAAUUUUUUUCAAUAAUGGGACGUUCGAUUCGGCGAUCGGUUCCGUUAAACAUGAUCUACGCUAUUAGAAAUAUCUAGAAAUCAAAUUUCAUAAUUUUUUGACUUCGUUUGCCUAGUGAACAAGUAGCCUCAAAAUGAACGGCUGAAAAUAAAAAUCUCAUAGAAAACAGUGAUAAAUGACUCAAAUUUCAAAUCGGAAGUAUUGUUCUCGCUAUUGAUGUUAAGUAGAAUUUUCUAUUAAAGUUUCAUAUAAUUUGGAUACUUCUACACCGUUGAACUUAAAAACGUGUCACAUCGGCCGUUAAAAUAGUCAUUUUUGAGACCAUGUGAUCGCUUGAUAAAUGAUGUCGAAAAAUUAUAAAAUUUGGUUUCUAAAUAGUUUCAAUAGCAUAGAUUAUGUCUAACGGAGCCGAUCGUUAAAUUGGAUGUCCUAUCAUCGAAAACAACUUACAAGUAUGGAGGCCUCCGUACUUUCGAAAGCACGGGA
rnacentral:lncRNA from 1 species